rnacentral:rRNA from 1 species
GGGCCCGCACAAGCGGUGGAGUAUGUGGUUUAAUUCGAUGCAACGCGAAGAACCUUACCAGGGUUUGACAUCCUGCGAAUUUCUGGGAAACCGGAAAGUGCCUUCGGGAGCGCAGUGACAGGUGGUGCAUGGCUGUCGUCAGCUCGUGUCGUGAGAUGUUGGGUUAAGUCCCGCAACGAGCGCAACCCACGUCUUUAGUUGCCAGCAUUUAGUUGGGCACUCUAGAGAGACUGCCGGUGAUAAACCGGAGAAGGUGUGGAUGACGUCAAGUCAUCAUGCCCCUUACAUCUGGGCUACACACGUACUACAAUGCUACGGACAAAGGGCAGCAAGUUCGCGAGGACAAGCAAAUCCCAUAAACGUGGCUC